UGGAUGUUGUACUUCUAGCUCCUUGGUGAUCUUGAGCCUAGUAACAAGAACCUAAUGUUCUAUCUUGUUAUUCGAGGUUUCAAACUUAAACCGAAGGACAUAUUGGGCUACAACCCCCUUCGAAUAGUUGAGGAUUAAUCUAGCCCUGGAUCUCACAUGCCAGAGGAUCCGUCCACAUGCAAGCUCCAAAACUCGUUAAGCACC
rnacentral:lncRNA from 1 species